rnacentral:rRNA from 1 species
UACGUAGGGUGCGAGCGUUAAUCGGAAUUACUGGGCGUAAAGCGUGCGCAGGCGGUUCGUUAUGUCCGAUGUGAAAGCCCCGAGCUUAACUUGGGAAUGGCAUUGGAAACUGGCGGGCUGGAGUGCGGCAGAGGGGGGUGGAAUUCCACGUGUAGCAGUGAAAUGCGCAGAUAUCAGGAGGAACACCGAUGGCGAAGGCAGCUCGCUGGGACGGUACUGACGCUGAGGCGCGAAAGCGUGGGGAGCAAACAGG